CCAGCCCCCACCCGGCCGCAUGGCCUGGGCAGGGAACGGGAGGCAGCUGGAGCUCUGUUACCUUUCACAGCCAGGAAACAGAGCAAGAAAUUCUCAGGCUUAGGUCUUAAAGUGGUGUUCACAAGUUGAUCUCAGUUUUCAAUGGUCAAAACUGCUGUCAAUUCUUAGAAAUGACCGAUAAUUGGUCAGGAUAAAAGACUCCCAUCAGUCACUAGCAGCUUCAACUUCCUUAGCUCUCAAAACUAUCUUAAAGUCACCCCAUGACACAUUUCUUUCCUUGUUUCUUCCCAUGGCAUGCAAGAAAUCAAAUGAAACCAGUUUGCCUUGGUCUUUCAAGGGGAAAAGAAAGUAAGGCUGAAGUUGCCAAAUCCUGUGGCCUUUCCUCAAGUAUUCAUCACCUCAGCUUUUGUUGUGUUUUGUCUGGGUUAUAAGUGAGGUUCUUGGCUGAAAUUCUGCAGUUUGAAAGAUUGUUCAGCACCUGAUAAGGUCCAUGUCUUUCAAAAGGUGUAGUCUGAAUACAUUUGACACAACAAAUAUGCUUGUAUUUAUGUUCAUGGAGUAGAAAAGUAAUUUCCUGAAGUUUUGCAGUUCAGAGGCAGAGCAUAUGACACUGGAAUAUAAUGCAUUUUAAGUAAUCUGAGGACAUUAAGGUAUAGUUUUCUUGCUUCUGGCAUAUGUGCUGUUAAAAAUAUUGCAUUCCUAUGUUCAGUUAUUUCCUAGUCAUAUCCUAUCUGCAAGCCUGGCUAGCAAAAAAAUUUGCUUAAAUUGUAUGGAUUUAUAAUGUCUAUUUUUCUUCCUUCUGUGAACUGGAGUUCACUAAGCUGAGCUGUGAUAAAAUGGGCUUUGCUAUGCAGACUUUCAGUAAGAGGGUUUUUGAAAUGCCCUUGUGGCCCAUUUAUGUAAUAACAAGGGAGACAUGUCCUGACCUAUCAAUCUCACUUUAACAGAGCUGUUCAAAACAUUGUGUAUUGUGCACACAGAAACUAACAUACAAGAAUGUUUAUUAUUGCAACAACUUUGAGCUUGACAAAAAAUUCCAGAAGAGUUCAACUGGGAGCUUAAAUCAAGCUCUUUGUUUAAAAUAUCUCACAACACCUUUAAACCUGACAGUUCAUAUAACAUCAAUUCUUAAAUUGCUGAAUUGUUUUGGUACUUUUUUUGAGGGUUGGGAUUUUUCUCCCUCAUUUCUUCCUUGCUAAUCUAUUUGGUUAAUAGCCAGUUGGUCUCUGGCCAGGUAUUCAUAACUGAGCAUAUUACAUUCUGUUUAUCUCUGAAAUAUAUAUUAAAGCAACCUAGAUUUUAAAGAAUUUAAUUUUUUAAUUUUUUUUUUUACCACCUAAGAGUCUGUUUAUCAACCCGAAGUUAAGAUAAACAUGCAGCAAAGAAAACUAAAAAUAGUUUUUUGCAGUAGUUGCAAACACAUUGUAAAAG
rnacentral:lncRNA from 1 species